rnacentral:rRNA from 1 species
GUUUGGUUAAGUUAGAAAGGGCGCACGGUGGAUGCCUUGACACUAGGAGUCGAUGAAGGACGGGACUAACGCCGAUAUGCUUCGGGGAGCUGUAAGUAAGCUUUGAUCCGAAGAUUUCCGAAUGGGGAAACCCACCAUACGUAAUGGUAUGGUAUCCUUACCUGAAUACAUAGGGUAAGGAAGACAGACCCAGGGAACUGAAACAUCUAAGUACCUGGAGGAAGAGAAAGCAAAUGCGAUUUCCUGAGUAGCGGCGAGCGAAACGGAACAUAGCCCAAACCAAGAGGCUUGCCUCUUGGGGUUGUAGGACAUUCUAUACGGAGUUACAAAGGAACGAGGUAGACGAAGCGACCUGGAAAGGUCCGUCGUAGAGGGUAAUAACCCCGUAGUCGAAACUUCGUUCUCUCUUGAAUGUAUCCUGAGUACGGCGGAACACGUGAAAUUCCGUCGGAAUCUGGGAGGACCAUCUCCCAAGGCUAAAUACUCCCUAGUGAUCGAUAGUGAACCAGUACCGUGAGGGAAAGGUGAAAAGCACCCCGGAAGGGGAGUGAAAGAGAUCCUGAAACCGUGUGCCUACAAAUAGUCAGAGCCCGUUAACGGGUGAUGGCGUGCCUUUUGUAGAAUGAACCGGCGAGUUACGAUCCCGUGCGAGGUUAAGCUGAAGAGGCG